rnacentral:rRNA from 1 species
AUACGGAGGAUCCGAGCGUUAUCCGGAUUUAUUGGGUUUAAAGGGUGCGCAGGCGGCCAUUUAAGUCAGCGGUUAAAUCGUGGGGCUCAACCCCAUUCUGCCGUUGAUACUGGGUGGCUUGAUUGCGGUCGAGGUUGGCGGAAUUCGUUGUGUAGCGGUGAAAUGCAUAGAUAUGACGAAGAACACCGAUUGCGUAGGCAGCCGACCAGACCGCAAAUGACGCUCAUGCACGAAAGUGCGGGGAUCGAACAGGAUUAGAUACCCUGGUAGUCCGCACAGUAAACGAUGAAUACUUGUUUUCGGCGAUAUAAUGUCGGAGGCAAAGCGAAAGCGAUAAGUAUUCCACCUGGGGAGUACGCCGGCAACGGUGAAACUCAAAGGAAUUGGCGGGG